UCCACCACCAUCAUAUUCCUUUAAUUCUCUUACUACGGUUGUUACGAAACUAACUUAACGAUAGCGCUGUGAAUCGCUUCCUUCCUUCCUUCUUUCACCUUCAAUCCAAAUCUCUUUCCUUAAAAUCUCGUUUGCAUCACAAUUCCCAAGAAACUUGUUUCGAUGGUGCGAGCUCCGAAUCCGCAGCAUCUGGAAGCGAACACGCCUUUAAUCGUACAGGGAGAGGGUUUGACAAAUGAUGGGCUUAUUCCUCAGAUAUUUUCAUCUAUGCCAGCUCUUAAUGAUGCUGCUUCUUAUCUUGCACAAACAACAUCAUACUUAACUGGUUGUUUCUCCGAUUUUUCAGUAGAACAUUCCCCCGGCGGUCCUGGUGCUCCUGUCCUUCAUGCACAAGAGCUUGUGGAUUUUCCUUAUGCAGAAAUUGGUGCAUCUUCAUCUACUGAAAUUGAUAAUAUUCCUUCAAACAGAAUGCAUUUAACCAGUGUUGAAUCAUCUAAGGCUUCGACUUCAACAUGUCCCCAUACCCAAGAUGAAAUCACCAGUACCUCUGGUGGAGUUCCGUUACAAAAUUCCAGUGCACUUGUUGAAUCGAAUCGAACUGGACAAAGUGGCAUUUCCAUGUUCCAAAGCCUGAUUGAUCGUGCUCGAAGGACUGUGCGUGGAUCUGCAGAUGAUAUAGGAUGGCUUCAACGUGAUCCAGCAAUGCCUCCAGUUGAAGAUGGAACUGAAAGGUUCCUUGAAAUUCUGGAUAACAUCAAGCAUGGUGUUCACAGGUUACCAAAUUCAGUGGUUUAUUUGUUAGUUCCAGGUCUCUUCAGUAAUCAUGGCCCACUUUACUUUGUCAAUACAAAAGUCAGUUUUUCAAAAUUGGGUUUGGCCUGUCAUAUUGCAAAGAUUCAUAGUGAGGCCUCAGUGGAGAAAAAUGCUAGAGAGCUGAAAGAGUACAUUGAGGAAAUUUAUUGGGGUUCACAGAAACGUGUUAUGCUUCUUGGACAUAGCAAAGGAGGAGUAGAUGCAGCAGCUGCUUUAUCGUUGUAUUGGUCUGAUUUGAAAGAUAAAGUUGCUGGGUUGGCAUUAGCCCAAAGUCCCUACGGUGGAACUCCUAUAGCUUCAGAUCUUCUGCGUGAAGGACAGCUUGGCGAUUAUGUGAAUUUACGAAAACUUACUGAGAUUCUUAUCUGUAAAGUAAUUAAGGGUGACAUGCGAGCUUUAGAAGACUUGACAUAUGAAAGGCGGCGAGAGUUUUUGAAAGAGCAUCAUCUGCCAAAUGAAGUUCCAGUUGUUUCCUUUCGGACUGAAGCUGGCAUUUCCCCUGCUGUUUUAGCCACAUUAUCUCAUGUUGCACAUGCUGAAUUUCCACCCCUAGUUGCUCCGACCGGUGAGUCUACAAAACUUCCUGUGGUGAUGCCCCUUGGUGCGGCAAUGGCUGCUUGUGCACAAUUGACUCAGGUUAGGUAUGGUGAGAAAAGUGACGGCCUUGUGACAUGCCGAGAUGCAGAAGUUCCUGGAUCCGUUGUGGUGCGACCUAAGCGAAAAUUGGACCAUGCUUGGAUGGUUUAUUCAUCGCUAAAUGACGACCCUUCUGAAGGAGAUGCAUCUCAGGUGUGCGAGGCUCUCUUGACUCUACUUGUGGAAAUCGGGCAGAAGAAGAUGCACGAGUUUGCAAUGAAAGAUGAAUGAAGCAUUCCGGUGAAAUUUUCGACCUAUGACCUUAAUGCGAUAACGAUGAGGGAUGAUGGGAAUACCCUGCACUGAUGUUUAAUCAAUUCGUGCUGCAUACUCAAGCCUUUUCAGUUUAUUUUUCUUGAACUGUUUAUUUACAUAUAUCUGGACGAGGUUGAUAUAGAAGGACAUUUCUCCUCCAUUCGUUUUAUUCCUUUUUUGGGAGAUAGGUGGUGGAAGUGGGUUUCUCCUAUAAAGUGCCAAUGGCAAUUACUUUCUGGCCAACUUCUCCUAGGACAAACUGUAAUGGUCACACCUACCGAAAAGGUUCAUGAGACUAUAAAGGUACAUCAACACCUAAUAUACACUGAGAAAGUAAAAAUAUUAGGUUUAUAAAUAUGAUGUAUAACAGAAAAGAGAUAAAAAGAAAAAACAAGUGAAUAAUAAAUAUAGAUAAAACGAAGGUGUACGUGUAUCAUUUCUCAAUAUUACUGAAAAAUUAUUCAUGGACACUUAAAAGAUACAUCAACACUUACGCAUAAAAAAAUAGUAAAAAUAAUAGGUUCAUAGGUUACAUGAUUUGAUAAGAGGAGAGAAGGAUAGAAAAAAAAACCAAGUAUAUAUAGUGAAUAUAGAUAAAAUGAAAAUGUGAGUAGAUCAGUAUUAGUGAAGCUGCUGGGAUAGCACAAUCUCGUCCUCCGAUUCAAAUUGGACUGUAGACUUUCGGAUUGGAACUCCAAAAAAUAAGGUCUCUUAUCAAACGGUUUAGGAAUUAAUUAAUUUAGAAUUAAAAAACUUAUUCUACACGGCCUAAUUCGGAAUGCUUACAUUUUUAAAAUAUACAA